rnacentral:rRNA from 1 species
AAUGAACGCUGGCGGCGUGCCUAAUACAUGCAAGUCGAACGCUUUGUCUUUAAUUGAUCUGACGAGCUUGCUCUGAUGUGAUUUUAUCUGACAAAGAGUGGCGAACGGGUGAGUAACACGUGGGUAACCUACCUCUUAGCAGGGGAUAACAUUUGGAAACAAGUGCUAAUACCGUAUAAUAUUAACAACCGCAUGGUUGUUAAUUGAAAGAUGGUUCUGCUAUCACUAAGAGAUGGACCCGCGGUGCAUUAGCUAGUUGGUAAGGUAAUGGCUUACCAAGGCGAUGAUGCGUAGCCGAGUUGAGAGACUGAUCGGCCACAAUGGGACUGAGACACGGCCCAUACUCCUACGGGAGGCAGCAGUAGGGAAUCUUCCACAAUGGGCGCAAGCCUGAUGGAGCAACGCCGCGUGUGUGAUGAAGGGUUUCGGCUCGUAAAACACUGUUAUAAGAGAAGAACGACAUUGAGAGUAACUGUUCAGUGUGUGACGGUAUCUUAUCAGAAAGGAACGGCUAAAUACGUG